AAUAGAAUAUGUUUACCAAAGAUGGUAGGCCUAGUAGUAUUUUGUGUCCUGGAUGCUUUUAGUAGCCUACCCUUUGGGACCUCCCUUACUGAGCAUACUAAAAGAAAGCAUCGCGCACAACCUAACCAAUCGAAUUCGUCUAUUUCUCGACGGAGCCUUCUUCCCUACUGCCCUUGUGAAAAACCCUCCUCCAGGUGUCAGAAAAUGACAUAUCCAGAUUGAUAAAAUUGCGUGCAACGAAUGACGCCAUCUUCACUGGGAAGAGAAACUCUGCCAUGCCUGCCUGGAGAGCGAUGUUAGUGGAGUUGGGUCUCGAAGGAAAGCCUACAACUGGGCAAUUGAAAAGAAGUGGGAAAACCUUAAAAAGAAAUAUAAGGUAAUGAUUAUGAAUGCAAUUGAGAACAGGAAACAAACACCCUUGGCCUUAACUCAAGAUGUAUUAUCUUCUAUUUGAAUUACGCUUGAACACAGAUUCUAGGCUUUGGUUCCAGCCCAGU